rnacentral:rRNA from 1 species
AGCGAACGCUGGCGGCAGGCUUAACACAUGCAAGUCGAGCGGGCACUUCGGUGUCAGCGGCAGACGGGUGAGUAACACGUGGGAACGUACCCUUCGGUUCGGAAUAACGCUGGGAAACUAGCGCUAAUACCGGAUACGCCCUUUUGGGGAAAGGUUUACUGCCGAAGGAUCGGCCCGCGUCUGAUUAGCUAGUUGGUGGGGUAAUGGCCUACCAAGGCGACGAUCAGUAGCUGGUCUGAGAGGAUGAUCAGCCACUCUGGGACUGAGACACGGCCCAGACUCCUACGGGAGGCAGCAGUGGGGAAUAUUGGACAAUGGGCGCAAGCCUGAUCCAGCCAUGCCGCGUGAGUGAUGAAGGCCUUAGGGUUGUAAAGCUCUUUUGUCCGGGACGAUAAUGACGGUACCGGAAGAAUAAGCCCCGGCUAACUUCG